GACAUACUCCCUCCGUUCAACAAAAAAUGUCUCAAAUUUCUCAAAAUUUGAAUGUAUCUAGAUGUCACUUAGUGUAUAGAUGCAUUUAAAUUUAGUCAAAAUUGAGACAUCCUUGGACGGAGGGAGUAGAAC
rfam:Brachypodium distachyon strain Bd21 chromosome 1, whole genome shotgun sequence.